UACCUACGGGGGGCAGCAGUGGGGAAUUUUGGACAAUGGGCGCAAGCCUGAUCCAGCCAUGCCGCGUGCGGGAAGAAGGCCUUCGGGUUGUAAACCGCUUUUGUCAGGGAAGAAAAGGUUCUGGCUAAUACCUGGGACUCAUGACGGUACCUGAAGAAUAAGCACCGGCUAACUACGUGCCAGCAGCCGCGGUAAUACGUAGGGUGCAAGCGUUAAUCGGAAUUACUGGGCGUAAAGCGUGCGCAGGCGGUUAUGAAAGACAGAGGUGAAAUCCCCGGGCUCAACCUGGGAACGGCCUUUGUGACUGCAUAGCUAGAGUGCGGCAGAGGGGGAUGGAAUUCCGCGUGUAGCAGUGAAAUGCGUAGAUAUGCGGAGGAACACCGAUGGCGAAGGCAAUCCCCUGGGCCUGCACUGACGCUCAUGCACGAAAGCGUGGGGAGCAAACAGGAUUAGAUACCCCUGUAGUCAC
rnacentral:rRNA from 1 species